rnacentral:rRNA from 1 species
GAUGAACGUUGGCGGUGUGCCUAAUACAUGCAAGUCGAACGGAGACUGUAGCAAUACUGUCUUAGUGGCGAACGGGUGAGUAACGCGUUGGUGAUCUGCCUCGAAGUGUGGAAUAACCUCCCGAAAGGGAAGCUAAUACCGCAUAGUCUCUCAAGGUUUAGAAAAUUGAGAGUAAAGGAUUUAUUCGCUUCGAGAGGAGCCUGCGUCCCAUCAGCUAGUUGGUAGGGUAACGGCCUACCAAGGCAAUGACGGGUAGGGGACCUGAGAGGGUGGCCCCCCACAAUGGAACUGAAACACGGUCCAUACACCUACGGGUGGCAGCAGUAGGGAAUAUUGGUUAAUGUGCGAAAGCGCGAACCAGCAACGCCGCGUGCACGAUGAAGGCCUUCGGGUUGUAAAGUGCUUUUUGAGGGGAUGAGGAGGGACAGUACCCUCAGAAUAAGUCUCGGCCAACUACGUG